rnacentral:rRNA from 1 species
AUGGCUCAGCUCCAAUAGCGUAUAUUAAAGUUGUUGCAGUUAAAAAGCUCGUAGUUGAAUUUCGGGAUCAAUAUUUCGGUCAUGCCGUUGGUAUGCACUGUUAUCAUUGAUUUCUCACCUUCUAAAGAACCGUAAUGCCAUUAAUUUGGUGUUACGGGGAAUUAGGACUGUUACCUUGAAAAAAUUAGAGUGUUUAAAGCAGGCUCACGCUUGAAUACAUUAGCAUGGAAUAAUGAAAUAGGACAUCCGAUUCUAUUUUGUUGGUUUCUAGGAUCGAUGUAAUGAUUAAUAGGGAUAGUUGGGGGCAUUAGUAUUCAAUUGUCAGAGGUGAAAUUCUUGGAUUUAUUGAAGACUAACUACUGCGAAAGCAUUUGCCAAGGAUGUUUUCAUUAAUCAAGAACGAAAGUUAGGGGAUCGAAGACGAUCAGAUACCGUCGUAGUCUUAACCAUAAACUAUGCCGACUAGGGAUCGGAUGAUGUUAAUNGC